CGAUUCGAGCGAAAGCGAGAAAGCGUUGCCGCAGGCAACGACCCGAAGGGCGAAACGCGCAGCGCUGAGUCAUCCUUCCCCCACCACCA
rnacentral:sRNA from 2 species